UACGUAGGGUGCAAGCGUUGUCCGGAAUUAUUGGGCGUAAAGAGCUCGCAGGCGGUCUGUCGCGUCUGCUGUGAAAACUCGGGGCUUAACCCCGGGCCUGCAGUGGGUACGGGCAGACUAGAGUGCGGUAGGGGAGACUGGAAUUCCUGGUGUAGCGGUGAAAUGCGCAGAUAUCAGGAGGAACACCAAUGGCGAAGGCAGCUCGCUGGGACGGUACUGACGCUGAGGCGCGAAAGCGUGGGGAGCAAACAGG
rnacentral:rRNA from 1 species